UACAGAGGGUGCGAGCGUUGUCCGGAAUCACUGGGCGUAAAGGGCGCGUAGGCGGCUUGAUAAGCGUGCGGUGAAAGCCCGGGGCUCAACCCCGGGUCGGCCGUGCGAACUGUCGAGCUGGAGCACUGUAGAGGCAGGUGGAAUUCCGGGUGUAGCGGUGGAAUGCGUAGAGAUCCGGAGGAACACCAAUGGCGAAGGCAGCUCGCUGGGACGGUACUGACGCUGAGGCGCGAAAGCGUGGGGAGCAAACAGG
rnacentral:rRNA from 1 species